rnacentral:rRNA from 1 species
AUUGAACGCUGGCGGCAGGCUUAACACAUGCAAGUCGAGCGAGCGGCGGACGGGUGAGUAAUGUAUGGGAAACUGCCUGAUGGAGGGGGAUAACUACUGGAAACGGUAGCUACUACCGCAUACCAUCAGAUGUGCCCAGAUGGGAUUAGUUAGUAGGGGGGGUAAUGGCUCACCUAGGCGACGCUCCCACGCUGGUCUGAGAGGAUGACCGGCCACACUGUAACUGAGACACGGUCCAGACUCCUACGUGAGGCAGCAGUGGGGAAUAUUGCACAAUGGGCGCAAGCCUGAUGCAGCCAUGCCGCGUGGGUGAAGAAGGCCUUCGGGUUGUAAAGCACUUUCAGCGAGGAGGCGUUACUCGCAGAAGAAGCACCGGCUAACUCCGUGCCAGCCGCCGCGGUAAUUC